rnacentral:rRNA from 1 species
UUUCCUACGGGGGGCAGCAGCCGCGGUAAUACAGAGGGUGCAAGCGUUAAUCGGAAUUACUGGGCGUAAAGGGUCUGUAGGCGGAUUAUUAAGUCGGAUGUGAAAUCCCCGGGCUCAACCUGGGAACGGCAUUCGAUACUGGUAGUCUAGAGUGUGCAAGAGGAUGGGGGAAUUCCUGGUGUAGCAGUGAAAUGCGUAGAGAUCAGGAGGAACAUCAAUGGCGAAGGCACCUUUCUGGGGCAACACUGACGCUGAGAGACGAAAGCGUGGGGAGCAAACAGGAUUAGAUACCCUGGUAGUCGG